UUUGGCAACAUUUGUUGUGAAAUUAGAACUUUUGUUGUUUGGAUAUAUUUCGGCUGAGGCAUUGCUGGGCAGAGUCAGAUAAAAACCUGAGGUUUCCAUGAUUGUUGAAAUCACUUUUGAACAACACACACUAACGGUAGUUAUUUUAUCCUGUUGCGUCCAAUAUCCUCCGAGUCUAGGACCCAGCAGUGUUGCCAAGUACGUUGAUUAUAAGCGACUUUGGGCUUGUUUUUCUGUUAAGUCGCUUACAAAUAUUGAUAGUCGCGGGUCGCGUUUGUUUUGGGCUUUUUUCUAAAGUGUAGUUGCUUAUUUGGGCUUGUUCCCAGCUCCAUAAUAAGUUGUCAAGCAGAUAUUUUCUAUGUUAUUUAAACGAGUUUAUCUUGCCUGUUCCCUCUGUCCAUCUCCUUUCCCCAUACACACAGGAGACAGCAGAGUUUUCACCCACCCACAUCCUGCUUCUAAUUGGGUCUGACCCAGAUGGCAACGAGUACUAGCCAGAGCUGGGCAAUCGGUUUUUUUCUGUUUAGGAAAACGUUAGUGAGUGACGUUUGAAUGAAAAUACACGCGAGUCGCGACUGAUGGUGACUGGACUGUAGGAGAGUUUUUGGAGGAACAAAUGCCCGGGACAAAGUGGGCGAAAUACGGGAAGAAAUAUAACAAAUACUUGGAGAAAGAGAAAGGAAUAAAAGAAUGGAUUAAACCCGUCGUGGGGGACGACUCAAAAGCACUGUGCAGAGUAUGUAAGUGUGGAAUACGUGCACACCAUGCAGACCUCGUACAACAUGCUAGCACAGAAAAACAUUUAAAAAAUGCAGCACUGUUCUCCACAAUGAGUCUUACGGACAUUGGGUUCACGGUCUCCAAACAGAACGAGUCAAGACAGAAAGCUGAACUGAAGGUAGCCACCAAUGUAGCUUGUCACACAUCCAUUAAAUCACUCGAUCACCUUGGGGAGUUAAUUUGCUCAACUUGUGACAAAGACAUCAAAAUACACCGGUGCACGGCAUUAAUUAACUAUGCCAUUGCCGUGUAUGUAUGUAACUUAAGGGGGAUAUCGAAGAUGCUGAAUACUCCCUUGUUAUUGAUGAAAGCACAGACGUAUCAUCUGUCAAGCAACUGUUUGUGGUAAUCCGCUACUUCAGUAUGACACUGAACAAAGUUGUGUCUACAUUUUUGGGUUUGAUAAACUUGGAGGGUGAAACAGCAGAGGCAAUUGCCUUCACUCUGACCCGUUUUCUACAGAGUAUUGGACAGGACAUCAAAAAGUGCAUUCGAUUAGGUACAGAUUAGGCUGCAUUGUCAUGGUAGGGAAGAGGAAUUCACACUCACCUUCUCCAGAAAAACCUAAAUCUGUUCAAGUGCGUGUGCCAUUCCAUACAACUGGGUGUAAGCAAGGCAGUGGAGACCUCCCACGCAACCUUGAAUACUUGGUCUCUAAUUCUCACAACUGGUUUUCCCACAGUGCUCUUCGCCGCCGUGAGUAUGCAAAGAUCUACAGCCUCAUCAAUCCUGGUGAAAUCCCUUUGAUGCUUGUACAGAUGUCAGGUACAUGGUAGCUUUCCAUCCAUGAUUGCUGUUUGCGCAUACUCAAUCAGUGGGAAGAACUGAAGCUUCACUUUCAGCUAACCAAAGACCACCAGAGAUGUUAUGAUGCUGAAAUCCUGCACCAGAUGUACAGUGAUCCUGUUAAUUAACUGUACCUGCUGUUUUUAAUGCCUUUUCUAUAAGAAUUCAACAGGAUCAACAAGCUGUCCCAGCAGGACAGGGGCAAUCCAUUCAAAAUGCUGGAGUGUCUGCUUCUUUUCUUUCGCUCCCUUCAUCUCCAGAGUGGUGAGACCUGGAAUGAUCCCCACAUCAGAUGAACAACUGCUUGCAAUCGACAUAACAGACCCCAGUGUUUUGUCACUUGUGGGUGCAGUCAGUUAUGGGGUCACCUUAAUGAUGGCAUUGGAUGAGGCAAAAAUGGAGAGCACGGCUGAGAGAAAUAUGAAGAGUAGGUGCCGUGACUUCUUGGUGGAAGCGGGCAGACAAGUGCAACAGAGACUCUAUGACUGUGUUCAGUCCGACUGUCAUCCUGUCACAAACAAAACCACAGCUCAGCUCAGUCUUAAUGCUGAAGCUCUACUCUGGUGAUCUUGCAGCUUUUGAAACACAGUAUCAGGCUGUUGCAUAUAUCCCAUGGACAAACAUGGAGGACAGCCAGGCAGAGGCCUUUUGGGUUGAAGUGCUCAAUUACAAAGAGAGCAGUGGAGACCCCACUUUAAAAAAAACUUGCCCUCUUUUCUCUGUCAUUGCUUGCAAUGCCUUUGAUCAAUACUGACGUACAGUGUUCUCACAGAUGAGCCUGGUCAAGUCCAAACUGAGGAACAGAAUGGGACAAGAAACUCUCAGCAGCAAAUUCCACAUAAAAUAAGGACUGAGAAGACAAGGCAUAUGCUGCAAGGACUUUGCCUCAAGCAAGGAGACGUUCCAGUGCUUCAAUAGUCGCAUGUAGUCUGUGAGUGGAGCACCAGAGAGCAGGGACACGGAUGCAGAUGAAGACAGUGAAGAUGGAUUUAAAGCACAAGCUCUGGCCUCUACACAUGAAGGAAACAGCAGUGGAGGUAUGAAGACACACCUGAAGACAGUACAAGUCCAUGUUCUACAGAGAUUGAAACUGCCUACUCUGUACCUGUCCUGUGGCGUCUUAAGCUCAUAUGCCACUUUGACAUUUGACUUUGAUUGGCCCUCUUUGGGUCACCACACUCUCCUCAACUAAACAAGAGGAUAGUUACAUUCUCAUUUCACACACAUUUUUUUUAAUGUUUUGUUUUUAUUAUUUAUAUGGUUUUAUUAUGUUCUUGUUUGGAUGUAGGCCAUCAAGAACGUCUGAAUGUAGAACUAAAACAUGUUGAAUGUUUCAGGAUAUUGAAGAUAUUUUCAGAUAUUUCAUAGAUUCUGUUCAGACAAAUUGUUAUUAAAUGUUUAAUUUGCACCUUGGUACCUGAAGCAACUUGAAAGAUAAUGGUGGUGUUAUUCUUCAUAUAUAUGAGGCUAAAGUGUUAUGAUUCUUAAAAAUGUUUUAGACCAAGCCUCAUCCUCACCUGUUCAAAUGGUUUUGACUGGAAUGGUUUUUAAACCAGUUUAGUUUAUUUAAAUCUUUUCUAACUCACUCUUAUGUUUAUCAGAGCAGGAGCCACUUUAUUGCUGCACACUAAGAUUAUCAAUAAUUACUUCUGUUUCUGGGUUAUAGUUAUUUAAAAAUGGGAUCUUCUGCAGUCCCUGCAAUAAUAAAUAAACAAUUUGUGAAUUCA
ensembl:lncRNA